CAGCUAUAAAAAGGCAGCUGGGGAGGCAGGGGCUGGGCAGCUCAGACUCAGGCACAUGGAGAUGGGGUCCCAGGCUCAGAUGCUCUUUCUCCUGUUGUUCUGGAUCCCAGAUGCCCGAGGGGCCGUUGUGCUGACCCAGUCUCCAGCCUCCCUGGCUGCGUCUCCAGGAGAGAGAGUCACCAUGUCCUGCAGGGCCAGUCAGGGUAUUAAUAACAACCUACACUGGUACCAACAGAAACCAGGCCAGGCCCCCAGGCUCCUCAUCUACUAUGCUAACAGCCUGGCAUCCGGGGUCCCUGCCCGGUUCAGCGGCAGUGGGUAUGGGACAGAUUUCUCCCUCACAAUCAGUAACAUCGAGGCUGAGGACGCUGCAGUCUAUUACUGUCAGCAGUGGUAUAGCUCUCCUCCCACAGUGAUACAGCCCCGAACAAAAACCUGCCCAGCAGCUGCUGAGGGAGCAUCAGGGCCCCAGGGGCCUCUCCUUCCCCUCAGCUGGGCUGGGGGCAGCUUGUCUGGGCUGCCUCAGGGGGAGGUUUCUGGGUCUCAGAGGAAGAUGCCGGGACUGUGAGAAUACUCCCUGAUU